rnacentral:rRNA from 1 species
CCUACGGGCGGCUGCAGUGGGGAAUAUUGGACAAUGGGGGGAACCCUGAUCCAGCCAUGCCGCGUGUGUGAAGAAGGCCCUCGGGUUGUAAAGCACUUUCAGUGAGGAAGAACGCCUGGUGGUUAAUACCCAUCAGGAAAGACAUCACUCACAGAAGAAGCACCGGCUAACUCCGUGCCAGCAGCCGCGGUAAUACGGAGGGUGCGAGCGUUAAUCGGAAUUACUGGGCGUAAAGCGCGCGUAGGUGGCUUGAUAAGCCGGUUGUGAAAGCCCCGGGCUCAACCUGGGAACGGCAUCCGGAACUGUCAAGCUAGAGUGCAUGAGAGGAAGGUAGAAUUCCCGGUGUAGCGGUGAAAUGCGUAGAGAUCGGGAGGAAUACCAGUGGCGAAGGCGGCCUUCUGGACUGACACUGACACUGAGGUGCGAAAGCGUGGGUAGCAAACAGGAUUAGAUACCCGUGUAGUC